rnacentral:tmRNA from 1 species
GGGGCUGAUUCUGGAUUCGACGGGAUUUGCGAAACCCAAGGUGCAUGCCGAGGGGCGGUUGGCCUCGUAAAAAGCCGCAAAAAAAUAGUCGCAAACGACGAAACCUACGCUUUAGCAGCUUAAUAACCUGCUUAGAGCCCUCUCUCCCUAGCCUCCGCUCUUAGGACGAGGAUCAAGAGAGGUCAAACCCAAAAGAGAUCGCGCGGAUGCCCUGCCUGGGGUUGAAGCGUUAAAACGAAUCAGGCUAGUCUGGUAGUGGCGUGUCCGUCCGCAGGUGCCAGGCGAAUGUAAAGACUGACUAAGCAUGUAGUACCGAGGAUGUAGGAAUUUCGGACGCGGGUUCAACUCCCGCCAGCUCCACCA